CUGGCGGCGCUACCAUGCAGUCGAGCGGAUGAAGGGAGCUUGCUCCUGGAUUCAGCGGCGGACGGGUGAGUAAUGCCUAGGAAUCUGCCUGGUAGUGGGGGAUAACGUCCGGAAACGGGCGCUAAUACCGCAUACGUCCUGAGGGAGAAAGUGGGGGAUCUUCGGACCUCACGCUAUCAGAUGAGCCUAGGUCGGAUUAGCUAGUUGGUGGGGUAAAGGCCUACCAAGGCGACGAUCCGUAACUGGUCUGAGAGGAUGAUCAGUCACACUGGAACUGAGACACGGUCCAGACUCCUACGGGAGGCAGCAGUGGGGAAUAUUGGACAAUGGGCGAAAGCCUGAUCCAGCCAUGCCGCGUGUGUGAAGAAGGUCUUCGGAUUGUAAAGCACUUUAAGUUGGGAGGAAGGGCAGU
rnacentral:rRNA from 1 species